CCAGACUCCUACGGGAGGCAGCAGUGGGGGAUAUUGCACAAUGGGGGGAACCCUGACCGAGCAACGCCGCGUGAACGAAGAAGUUAUUCGUAAUGUAAAGUUCUUUUAUCAGGGAAGAAAGAGGAAUUUGACGGUACCUGAGGAAUAAGCUCCGGCUAACUACGUGCCAGCAGCCGCGGUAAUACGUAGGGAGCGAGCGUUAUCCGGAAUUAUUGGGUGUAAAGGGUGCGUAGACGGAAGAACAAGUUGGUUGUGAAAUCCCUCGGCUCAACUGAGGAACUGCAACCAAAACUAUUCUCCUUGAGUGUCGGAGAGGAAAGUGGAAUUCCUAGUGUAGCGGUGAAAUGCGUAGAUAUUAGGAGGAACACCAGUGGCGAAGGCGACUUUCUGGACGAUAACUGACGUUGAGGCACGAAAGUGUGGGGAGCAAACAGGAUUAGAUACCCCCGUAU
rnacentral:rRNA from 1 species